UCCGUAGGUGAACCUGCGGAAGGAUCAUUCAUAAUAAGUGUUUUACUGCACUUUUUAAAAAUAGUACUCACCUUGUGUGCAAUGUUGUGUUUCUUUUCGGAGAAACACCUACACCAACCUAUAACCUUGAACCACUUUGUCUGAAAAACUAUUAUGAAUACUUAAUUCAAAAUACAACUUUCAACAACGGAUCUCUUGGCUCUCGCAUCGAUGAAGAACGCAGCGGAAUGCGAUACGUAAUGUGAAUUGCAGAAUUCAGUGAAUCAUCGAAUCUUUGAACGCACAUUGCACUCUCUGGUAUUCCGGAGAGUAUGCUUGUUUGAGUAUCAGUAAACACCUCAAGUCUCUUCUCUAGAGAAGAGAAUUGGACUUGAGCAAUCCCAACUCUUUGCAAAAAGAGGCGGGUUGCUUGAAAUGCAGGUGCAGCUGGACAUUCUUCUGAGCUAAAAGCAUAUCUAUUUAGUCCCGUCAAACGGAUUAUUACUUUUGCUUCAGCUAACAUAAAGGUCGAAUGCGCCACAAUCGCUGAUUGCAGGAAAACUCGUUCGUAAGAACUUGUAAACUCGAUCUCAAAUCAAGUAAGACUACCCGCUGAACUUAAGCAUAUCAAUAAGCGGAGG
rnacentral:rRNA from 1 species